AACGCUAGCUACAGGCUUAACACAUGCAAGUCGAGGGGAAACGAUAUUGGAAGCUUGCUUCCGAUAGGCGUCGACCGGCGCACGGGUGAGUAACGCGUAUCCAACCUGCCCACCACUUGGGGUUAACCUUGCGAAAGUAAGACUAAUACCCAAUGACGUCUCUAGAAGACAUCUGAAAGAGAUUAAAGAUUUAUCGGUGAUGGAUGGGGAUGCGUCUGAUUAGCUUGUUGGCGGGGUAACGGCCCACCAAGGCGACGAUCAGUAGGGGUUCUGAGAGGAAGGUCCCCCACAUUGGAACUGAGACACGGUCCAAACUCCUACGGGAGGCAGCAGUGAGGAAUAUUGGUCAAUGGACGAGAGUCUGAACCAGCCAAGUAGCGUGCAGGAAGACGGCCCUAUGGGUUGUAAACUGCUUUUAUAAGGGAAUAAAGUGAGUCUCGUGAGACUUUUUGCAUGUACCUUAUGAAUAAGGACCGGCUAAUUCCGUGCCAGCAGCCGCGGUAAUACGGAAGGUCCGGGCGUUAUCCGGAUUUAUUGGGUUUAAAGGGAGCGUAGGCCGGAGAUUAAGCGUGUUGUGAAAUGUAGACGCUCAACGUCUGCACUGCAGCGCGAACUGGUUUCCUUGAGUACGCACAAAGUGGGCGGAAUUCGUGGUGUAGCGGUGAAAUGCUUAGAUAUCACGAAGAACUCCGAUUG
rnacentral:rRNA from 1 species